rnacentral:rRNA from 1 species
AUUGAACGCUGGCGGCAUGCCUUACACAUGCAAGUCGAACGGCAGCACGGGAGCAAUCCUGGUGGCGAGUGGCGAACGGGUGAGUAAUAUAUCGGAACGUGCCCAGUCGUGGGGGAUAACGUAGCGAAAGCUACGCUAAUACCGCAUACGAUCUAUGGAUGAAAGCGGGGGAUCGCAAGACCUCGCGCGAUUGGAGCGGCCGAUAUCAGAUUAGGUAGUUGGUGGGGUAAAAGCCUACCAAGCCUUCGAUCUGUAGCUGGUCUGAGAGGACGACCAGCCACACUGGAACUGAGACACGGUCCAGACUCCUACGGGAGGCAGCAGUGGGGAAUUUUGGACAAUGGGCGCAAGCCUGAUCCAGCCAUGCCGCGUGAGUGAAGAAGGCCUCGGUUGUAAG